rnacentral:rRNA from 1 species
AGCAGCCGCGGUAAUUCCAGCUCCAAUAGCGUAUAUUAAAGUUGUUGCAGUUAAAAAGCUCGUAGUUGAAUUUCGGGGUUAGUAGGCUGGUCGUGCCACUGGUAUGUACUGGUCUUACUGAUUUCUCCUUUCUGAAGAACUGUAAUGCCAUUAAUUUGGUGUUGCAGGGAAUCAGGACUGUUACUUUGAAAAAAUUAGAGUGUUUAAAGCAGGCUAACGCUUGAAUACAUUAGCAUGGAAUAAUGAAAUAGGACGUUCGAUCCUAUUUUGUUGGUUUCUAGGAUUGACGUAAUGAUUAAUAGGGAUAGUUGGGGGCAUUAGUAUUCAAUUGUCCGAGGUGAAAUUCUUGGAUUUAUUGAAGACUAACUACUGCGAAAGCAUUUGCCAAGGAUGUUUUCAUUAAUCAAGAACGAAAGUUAGGGGAUCGAAGACGAUCAGAUACCGUCGUAGUCUUAACCAUAAACUAUGCCGACUAGGGAUCGGAUGAUGUUAAUUUUUAAUGACUCAUUCGGCGCCUUAC